UGAGGAAUAUUGGUCAAUGGACGGAAGUCUGAACCAGCCAAGUCGCGUGAAGGAUGACUGCCCUAUGGGUUGUAAACUUCUUUUGUAUUGGGAGAAUAAGCCUUACGUGUAAGGUGAUGACUGUACAAUACGAAUAAGCAUCGGCUAACUCCGUGCCAGCAGCCGCGGUAAUACGGAGGAUGCGAGCGUUAUCCGGAUUUAUUGGGUUUAAAGGGUGCGUAGAUGGGAAUGUAAGUUAGUUGUGAAAUCCCUCGGCUUAACUGAGGAACUGCAACUAAAACUAUAUUUCUUGAGUGCAGGAGAGGUAAGUGGAAUUCCUAGUGUAGCGGUGAAAUGCGUAGAUAUUAGGAGGAACACCAGUGGCGAAGGCGACUUACUGGACUGUAACUGACGUUGAGGCACGAAAGUGUGGGGAGCAAACA
rnacentral:rRNA from 1 species